GGUGCUGGUCGUCUAGAAGGAGGACGUGGCUUCUUAGCUCGGCUUUUUGGUUUGAGAGGCUUCGGCUCCUUGACUAAAAGAAAAACAAGGAGAAUGUAAGAAUGAGUUCUGGUAAGUUCAAAUAAAGGAAAAAAAGAAAAAUGACUAAGUAACAUUUACCGGAUUUAUUAGCUCGGCGUCGUUGGCGCCGAAGGAUUUCUUCUCAAGAUUCAGGCCAACGACGUUUACCGGCUUCACUGAAGGCUGUUUGGAAUUCGGUUGUGAGUCCGGAAUUGAGGAGAAUACUUGGAAGAUGGCGACCUGCACGAACAAACAAUAAAGGUUAAAAAGACAAAUAAAAGGCAAUCAAAAGAAGAGUGGGAUCAUCUAAAGCUACGGAUCGGAAUCUUCCACUCCGACUGAGUUGGUAUAUCAGUCUCGUUAAUUGUGAGUUCGUUAAUUUCGAGAAGAAGUAAUGCGACUCCCAGUCGUUGUACUUGCUAGGCUUCACCCCGGUAACGAUAUCUUUCCAAGGCUUAGCGUUAGCUGCAAAGAACCAAUCCUUCUUCGGGUGAAGAUUGACCGAGAAGAGGUCUUCAAUGAGACGAUUGGUUAGAUUUUCAUUGAGUUCGGCGCACAGGGAUCGGAAUCCCGUGUAGUUUGUCACCGAUGCAGGCAUCAGCUGCGAGAGAGCCACACCUCGACGGUUACACUAGCCGAGCUGGCGAGACGGGAUUGGAAGCGUCAGUCCGCACUGGGUGAAGUAGCCCAAGUAGAAGCAGAGGUAGUCUUUGGGGACAUGUCAUGGGCGGUCCCUGGCAUCAGGGGCGAUGUAAGCAGCUCCUUCCGUGAGUCCGCACGCUUCAAGUGCGGAGCGAAUCGUUCCUGGAGAUAAGGAUGACCCAGGCACAUCGCGAGAACAGACGACCUUCCGAGCUGGUGUCGGUGCAGGAGCAACAUUCACCGCUUGAGCUUCGGCGUUGACCUCGGCGUUAUCUCCCUCCUUGAGGUUUCCUACCUCGAGUUCGUUAACCUCCUCGAUCUCAUUAUUAUCAUCUUCGUCGGCAUCUGGAGCAAUCUGGGCCCUCGUUUUUCUAGCCUCGUUCGCCAACUGCUCAGGCGACUCAACUCUCGGUCUAGGUCGGUUACUGCUAGCACCCGCCGCUCUGGAGUUCUUGCGGGUUAAGGUCAGAGGAUUACUCGCCAACCUAGAACUCUGAGAUGAGGAGCUCGGCUCGGGGAAGUCGCGACAAUCUUCCGGAAGGAUUUGGUUAGAGGAGUUGUUGUUUGAAGAAGAAUCGGAAGACAUUUUUAAGAUCAGGAAAUGAGGUCGGAUGAAGAAGGCUUAAAGAACAGUUUGAAGAUGGAUCAGAAAGAUUAAAGAUGAAUCGGAAAAGUUUGAAGAUGGGUCGGAAAAAAUUGAAGAUUGAUCGGAAAAUUCAAAGAGAACGGCGGAGAGAGCAGAGAGAACUAAGAGAUCUAACAAAUAAAAAACUAGAGAGAGAAACGAAUCUAUGCUGAAGCAGAGAGAACUACCUUAUAUAUGUUGAAGCAGAAAUAAUGAAUGCGAAGUGGACUUCGUGUUAUAAAGAAACAGUAGAAAUCGUGGAUCCUCGAUUUUUGCGAAUUUCUAGAUUUCACGCGCCUCAUUAAAUUAGGGUUUUAAAAUGCCUGGAAAAACAAAUCGACUGAGUCUGCCGAGCUUGAUUUGUGACAUAAUUUCGAAAUCUAACUCAAAUGAGUUCGACAAAAAGCAAUCCCCUUUCGCCGAACUCUGGGGGUGGGGGAGCUAACUUGUUGGAGGUGAAAACCGCACCCUGUUGUUCUCCGGUACAAACCGAGAUUGGCACAAAUUAAGCCCGGUUUACAAAGGAACUGUACCGGAGAAAUCGGGCCAAAUGAGCUCCUAGGCUGAACAUGGCCUAUUAACACAAAGUCGGUCGGAAAUUCUCAAAGGAAUCGAGAAGGAUCCUGAGUUCGGAUGAAAAAGAAAAGUUCACGAACAAAAAAGGAAAUUCCCAAGAGAAAAGAAAAGUCUUUUCGGUCCCAUUUCAAGAAGAUGUCUCGCAAAGACCGACUUAGGGCACAUAUAUAAAGGGAGAAGAAUCGACACCAGAAAACACAAAAAAUCCGAAGAGACUUAGAGAUCGAGAACUCAAGACAUAUUCAGUUUCUUAGUUUCCUAAGUCUUAGCUCGUUUAUUAUUCUCAUAAAGAAACUCAGUUGUAUUUUGUCCGAUCUAAUAAAAUCUAAAUUUCUGAUCUAAAUUACUGUUUUACCCCUUUGUGUGAUAUCAUAUAUCAACAAUAAGAUAAUUUAAGUAGAUUGAUAACAACAUUUUGAAUAUAGCAAGUCAAACUAGUCUUGGUAUUGCAAUAGAUCGAAUCACACAAAAAACAUUCUAAGAAAGCUUGAUUAUUGAAAGAUAUUUUUAUAAGUGUGCAAAGUUUCUAUAUAUAAAGAUGUUUAUAAGAUAAUUUAAGUAGAUUGAAAGCAACAUUUUGAAUAUAGAAAGUCAAACUAGUCUUGGUAUUACAAUAGAUAGAAUCACACAAAAAACAUUCAAAGAAAGAUUCAUUAUUUAAAGAUGAAUAGAAGUUGUGGAUAGGAAAAAAUGUAUUUUAGGAUCAAUAGUUCUCAAAUCGCAUGCUCUUACACUAAAAAAAAAAAUAUAUGUUCAAAGACAUUAUCUGGAACAUCAAUAGAAUAAGUCAAGAGAAUUGAGCGAUUAACAAAGUGUCACAUAGUUCUUCUUAAGAACAACAUUUGAGUUCAGUUCUUUAACCUUCACAAACACAAGAAAGCUUCAAAAUGAUUGAACAAACCUCACUAAUGUCAGAGAAAAAUAACACGAUGACUUUUUCCUCCCAGGCGCGACUCCCAAGAAUCUCUGCAACUAAUUCCCGAUUUACUUUUCCACCGUAAGAAAUUCAAAUUUUCAAACGAUCCGACGCAGCUACUUUUUCCGGUGAGAAAUUUUUUGGAAUCUCGGCAUGGCUUUCAAGAUCCACCGAUUAUUUCCUCCCCUUGUCUCGUUUAUGAUAUCUGUUUGAAGGAAAGAAGCCAUCUGAAGCCUUUUUCACCAGUUGAAAAGUCUGAAGUCUUGCUCCAUUCCUUUUUUUUUUCUCGUCACCGGAGUUCCUGUGCUGACUAUGUUCACCGGCUCCUGAUGUCUCCGCCUCUGACCUUUCACCUUUAUCGUGUCUCUACACUCCAUCCCUUCUAGCUUUAUGCUAUGUCCUGUUCUCUUCUUUUCAUCAAAGAAGAAGACCCUGUAUCAUAAAAGAAAAUCCCUCAAGCUCCAGGGAUAACCGUCUAUCCUGUUACCUGAACUAUGAAGAAAUGAAGUCAAUCUCUGGUCCUGUCUAAAGCCGUUCAGAAAUCCACUUUUGGUGAUAUUAGGUGGUUAAGUGUUAUAAAAGUUGUAACCGGAUUAAACCGGAUAAAUUGAUCUUCUCUCAUAUAAAGGAGAGGUCGUGUGUAACAAACAUCUUAUCCAGAAUAACAAACUUUUCUUCCAUCUCUGUUUUCUUCUACAAAGCUAUUAUGGUAUCAAAGCAUUUUGCUCCGCUUCAUCACUCGUUUUCUUCCAUUUCUUCGAUUCUUCGAGCUCUCCAUUGAUCGAGCUCAUCAUCUUCACUGAUCCUUCCACUAGUUUCAUCCAAUUCGUUGUUUUUCAGCUAGCUCCGACUUCGCGAUGGUUUCCGUCAGAAAUCUACGGCGUCGCGGCGGUAAAUCGGCAGCUUCAGCUCGGAAAACACCUAUUCGCGAUGAUUCCUCCUCAUCUCCAACUCCGAUCAUCCCAUCUUCUCCGGCGAUUACGCAAAAUGCCUCGAUUGACUUUACGGAUAUGGUUUAUUCACCAUACGCGUUGACGAACGGUGAUAAUCCAGGAAGUGCAAUCAUAUCUGAGGUACUCGAUGGAACCAACUAUUCUACCUGGAAAAUUGCCAUGUCCGUUGCGUUAGAUGCGAAAAAUAAAAUAGGUUUUGUCGAUGGAUCUCUUCCGAGACUACCUGAAUCGCAUCCUAGCUUUAGGUUAUGGUCACGGUGCAAUAGUAUGGUAAAAUCUUGGCUAUUGAACUCAGUUUCAAAGCAAAUAUACAGAAGUAUUCUUCGAUUCAACGAUGCUUCAGAAAUUUGGAAAGAUCUGAUGGUCCGAUUUCAUAUAACAAAUCUUCCAAGAUCUUAUCAAUUGAUGCAACAGAUUUGGUCUCUGCAGCAAGGAUCGAUGAAUCUUUCUGAAAUACUAUACUGCAUUAAAGACACUGUGGGAUGAUUUAGAUGGCGCUGAAUGUAUCAGUACUUGUCACAACUGCAAAUGUUGCAGGUCAAUUGAUAAACAAGCUGAACACGCCAAAGUCAUCAAGUUUUUGGCAGGAUUGAAUGAGUCUUACACGACCAUUCGGAGCCAAAUUAUCAUGAAGAAGUCUAUUCCAGAACUGGCUGAGAUAUACAACCUUUUGGAUCAGGAUCACAGUCAAAGAAAUUUUGGUUUAGGCACUCAAAGUAACGCUUCUGCAUUUAAUGUCUCGGCUUCAGUGAAUGCGGCAAAGGCAUCCUACAAUAAUCCAAAACAGAACAAACCUCAAUGUACUCAUUGUGGAUACAUGGGUCACACUGUUGAUGGUUGCUACAAAAUUCAUGGAUAUCCUCCUGGUUUCAAGCACAAAAACAAAUCUGUUUCUGAUAGAGUGGAAAUGAGAAGCCUACAUCACAAGACAAAGCUACUUCUGAUAAACCAGUAGUAGCAAGUGUAGCUCUCGGUGAAAGUUCUAACUCACAACCAAACAGACUUGAUUCAGAUGGCAUCGCCAAAAUGAUUGGAGAAUUAUCAAAGGAUCAAAUCCAGGACAUGAUCGCUUACUUCAGUACUCAAUUGCAGACCACUCCAGCUAAAACAUCUUCAUCUCUCGGUGUUGUUGAUCUAGCUCCAAAUGGUACUGCAUUUUCUUCCUCUACACUAUGUUUUGUUGGAAUCUUGACAGCUACUAGGAAUGUGCUAACAAACCAAACAUGGAUCAUAGAUAGUGGUGCUACUCAUCAUGUUUCCCAUGAUCGAAACAUGUUUAAAAGCCUAUCUAAUGAUUUGAGCAAUACUGUUACACUUCCUACUGGUAUGAAUAUCAAGAUUGCAGGUGUUGGGAAGAUCAAGCUAAGUGAUCGGUUCAUAUUGAACAAUGUGUUAUUCAUCCCAGACUUCCGACUGAAUCUACUCAGUGUCAGUCAACUGACCAAAGAUCUUUGUUCCAGGAUUUCUUUUGAUGAAACUUCUUGUGUGAUUCAGGAUCGUAUCAAGGAGCAGAUGAUUGGACAGGGUAGACAGAUCGGUGGCUUAUACGUGUUGGAUUCUGAAGUUUUAUCAAGACCCUCUAAUGAUGUAAUUCCUUUCUGUUCUUCUGUUAUAGUUGAUGCAAAUUUGUGGCACAGUAGGUUAGGUCAUCCUUCCUACGAUAAACUUGAUCUUCUCUCCAAUGUAUUGGGAUUACAUAAACGGAAUAAAGAAGAUUCAUUACAUUGUGCCCCUUGUCAACUAGCAAAACAGAAACAUCUACCGUUCAUAUCAAAGAACAAUAUGACAGAUAAUGCUUUUGACCUCAUACACAUAGAUACUUGGGGGCCGUUUUCUGUUUCUACUCUAGAAGGAUACAGAUAUUUUCUAACGGUGGUUGAUGAUCACACAAGAGCCACUUGGAUUUAUCUUAUGAAGACUAAAGCAGACGUCAACCAAGUAUUCCCCGGGUUUCUACAAAUGGUAGAGACUCAGUAUGAGAAGAAAGUCAAAGCAGUCCGAUCGGACAAUGCUCCUGAGCUAAAGUUCACAGAGUUGUUCUUGAAGAAAGGAAUUAUCUCUUACCACUCUUGUCCAGAGACUCCACAACAAAAUUCAGUUGUUGAACGCAAGCACCAGCACAUUCUAAAUGUGGCCAGGGCUUUGAUGUUUCAAUCACGGGUUCCAAUUGAAUAUUGGGGAGACUGUGUAUUAUCUGCGGUAUUCCUGAUAAACAGAAUACCUACUCCUGUGCUAUCUAACAAGUCUCCAUUUGAAAUGUUACCUCUUUAUUUUUUCUAGUUUUUGCUAAGUCCUGUAUAUGAAGGAAUAAGUAUUUGCAAUAAGAAGACUGAAGUUUUAUCCUUUUUGUGAAGCGUGAAGAAUUUAAAUCUGGGAUUUUUUCUUGCUCUCUCUUUGUCCGAUGACUUCCCAAACCUGUAUCUCCGGCGUGCUCCUCAGGAAACAAGUCUUCUCUGCUUAAGAUUGAUGACUCUGACGACCAAGACUAAAGAUCUCUCCCCCCUGGGAAGUUUUUGAAAAACCGAUUACCUGAAGAUUCUCUUGGCUCUAACUGUAUACCAAGUUCAUCCCACAAAAACCCUUGAAGACCCCUACGACAUAAACAUAUUCUCACUAAUCUCUGUUAUUACUCCAAUCUCAACAAUGACGAACAAAUAAACCAGCAUUACCAAAGAUGACGAGGGGGAAAUUAUUUGAGGAGCAGGUUUCGUGGAGCAGUACAGUCGCUUGCGUUGGAUCGAGGUGAGCUACGAACCUUGGAAUCGAGGCUAUGGAUGGGACUUGAAAAACUGGAAAAAUCUCUGGAAGCAAAUUUCCAAAUCUCCGGCGGCCAAGGAGCUUAAUUGAAGAAGCGAAGUUUUAGUAAAAUGUUAAUUUUCUCCAAGAGCAAAAG
rnacentral:lncRNA from 1 species